rnacentral:rRNA from 1 species
UACGGAGGGUGCAAGCGUUGUCCGGAAUUAUUGGGCGUAAAGAGCUCGUAGGCGGUUUGUCGCGUCUGCCGUGAAAGUCCGGGGCUCAACUCCGGAUCUGCGGUGGGUACGGGCAGACUAGAGUGAUGUAGGGGAGACUGGAAUUCCUGGUGUAGCGGUGAAAUGCGCAGAUAUCAGGAGGAACACCGAUGGCGAAGGCAGAUCUCUGGGCCGUAACUGACGCUGAGGAGCGAAAGCAUGGGGAGCGAACAGG